UACGUAGGGCGCAAGCGUUAUCCGGAAUUAUUGGGCGUAAAGAGCUCGUAGGCGGUUUGUCGCGUCUGCCGUGAAAGUCCCGGGGCUCAACUCCGGAUCUGCGGUGGGUACGGGCAGACUAGAGUGAUGUAGGGGAGACUGGAAUUCUGGUGUGGCGGUGAAAUGCGCAGAUAUCAGGAGGAACACCGAUGGCGAAGGCAGGUCUCUGGGCAUUAACUGACGCUGAGGAGCGAAAGCAUGGGGAGCGAACAGG
rnacentral:rRNA from 1 species